AGAGUUUGAUCCUGGCUCAGAACGAACGCUGGCGGCAUGCUUAACACAUGCAAGUUGAACGCAGAAUAGAGCUUCGGCUUUAUUGCUGAGUAGCAAACGGGUGAGUAACGCGUGGGAAUCUGCCUUCUUGUGGGGGAUAACUAAGGGAAACUUUAGCUAAUACCGCAUACGCUCUACGGAGGAAAGGCUUCGGCCGCAAGAAGAGGAGCCCGCGUCAGAUUAGGUAGUUGGUAGGGUAAAAGCCUACCAAGCCGAUGAUCUGUAGCUGGUCUGAGAGGAUGAUCAGCCACACUGGGACUGAGACACGGCCCAGACUCCUACGGGAGGCAGCAGUGGGGAAUAUUGGACAAUGGGGGAAACCCUGAUCCAGCAAUGCCGCGUGAAUGAAGAAGGCCUUAGGGUUGUAAA
rnacentral:rRNA from 1 species